GCGCUGCCGUCAGCCGCCGCCGCUGACGGGCCGUGACGGGCGCUGACGCGCGGCGGCAGCUGCGAGGGGGCGCGGCGGCCCCCGGCUCCGGGCUCCGCUCCCGGCUCCGGGCUCCGCUCCCGGCUCCGGGCUCCGCUCCCGGCUCCAGGCUCCGCUCCCGGCUCCGGGCUCCGCUCCCGGCUCCGGGCUCCGCUCCCGGCUCCCGCCGCUCCGCGCCCGCGGCGGAGGAAGGAGCAGAUGGGCUGCGGCGAGCGCCAUAUGGGCCGUUUAGCCUUUCACCUCGCCGAGAUCAAUCACAGCCGGCCCGGCAGCGGCAGCGGCGGCAGCGGGACGAGGGACGCGGCAGCGGAGCCGCACAAAAGCACCGAGAGCAUCUCUGCGUGCGGGACCCCGGCCCGGCAGGGACACGGGACAGCGCGGCUCCGUGGGACCACCGCGUGCUGACAGGGGCUCGGUGGAAGUGGGCAUUGCUGCAAUAAAUGCCUCGUGCUGCAAUAAAUGCCUCGUGUAGCUGGCACUACCUGCACGGCUGAGCUUCAGGAGCAGACCAGGAGCGGGAAGGAAGGGACAAUAACACUCCAUUUGAAGUUUCUGGGAAAUCUGAGGGGAAUAAGGGCGUGCUUGUGAGAUGGCCCGCUCACAUCCAAGCCUGGCACUGAGACCCCCACGCUCUGACUUCACAGCAGGACAUCUGGCUUCACUGGGCCUCCAGCCGGCCACGGACACGCAGCCUCGCUGUGCCAGAGCUGCUCGUGUGUGCCAGUGUGCCCUGGCAGCCCUGGUGGUCUGGGGGAACACGCUGUGUGCUCUGGGACUGAGUGCCCAGGCUGGAGCUGCUGCUGCAGCCCCGGGACACCAGUGCUCAUCUGGGGCUGGCUCUGCCCAGGGGUGCACACCAGCUCCAGGCUGGUGCCUCCUUCUCCUCUGGGGACUUCACACCUUGUGUGACAUUGGACAGAAGGCUCCAGCCCUCCUUCCCUCUGGAGUGACACUGCUCUCUCGGGUCUCGGCGAUGGCACCAGUGCCACUGUCCCUGUGCAGCCUGUGUCCCUGUGGGGACAGCUGGUGGCUGUGGGGGGCUGGCACUGCCCCCUGCACCCCUGGGCCCAGGCAGGGGACCCAGCCCCUGACACACAACGUGUCCUGUGUAUCAGCACCUCCCUGCUGGUCUGAAACUUCGGUCUGUUGAAGAGGCAACAAAUCCCUUCCCUCCCAAAACUGUGUGCUGAAAUGAGCAGGUUGGACAGGGGCUGUGAGCAGUGGGAGUGUGUCCGUGCAGGGAAGGGCUGGAUGCAGGAGCUGCACGGGUGCUGCAGGAGCCUCUUGAAGAUGCCCCACGAGCUCAGCCCUGCCGUGCCCACCGAGCCCUGCCAGGAGGGUGUUUGAGGGAGCUGCUGGCCAGGGCACAGCACUGACCCUGCCUGGCCAUGCUGGCUGCUGCCCUCGGCACUGCCCACCACGCUGCCAGGGCCCCCCAGUGCUCCCAGUGCCUGCCAGUACCCCCCACUGCUGCCAGUGCCCCCUGAGUGCUCCCAGUGCCCCCCAAUGCCCCCAGUGCUGCAGGGCAGUGCCCCAGUGCUCCCAGUGCCCCCAGGGCUGCAGGGCCCCCGUGGGGUGCUGACCCGUGUCACCCCUCCUGCUGGAGAGGAGCAGCCCCAGCACCGCUCGUGGCUCCUGGGCUUCCCCAUCCCAGCCAAGGCCUGGCCUCCCUUCCUGGGGUGUUUGCUGUGCUGACGGCCAGGGCUGGCCUGGGUUUGGGGUUUUUAUGGGAAAUGGCAGCACCAGCGCACUUCCACUCACGGUGGGCUGCAGAAUACGGCCCGUGCCACCAGCUGGGCUGGGGGAACACGCUGGAAACCUCACCAUGGCACCCGGGCCUGCCAGGGAGGGGGGCUUGCACUUCAGGGAGCCUGGGCAGGGAUGCUGCUCCCUCCUGGGCAGGGAUGCUGCUCCCUCCUGGGCAGGGAUGCUGCUCCUGCCUGGGCAGGGAUGCUGCCCCAGCCUGGGCAGGGAUGCUGCUCCCGCCUGGGCAGGGAUGCUGCUCCCUCCUGGGCAGGGAUGCUGCUCCCUCCUGGGCAGGGAUGCUGCUCCCUCCUGGGCAGGGAUGCUGCUCCCGCCUGGGCAGGGAUGCUGCUCCUGUCUGGGCAGGGAUGCUGCUCCAGCCUGGGCAGGGAUGCUGCUCCAGCCUGGGCAGGGAUGCUGCUCCAGCCUGGGCAGGGAUGCUGCUCCCGCCUGGGCAGGGAUGCUGCUCCCGCCUGGGCAGGGAUGCUGCUCCCUCCUGGGCAGGGAUGCUGCUCCCUCCUGGGCAGGGAUGCUGCUCCAGCCUGGGCAGGGAUGCUGCUCCAGCCUGGGCAGGGAUGCUGCUCCCUCCUGGGCAGGGAUGCUGCUCCCGCCUGGGCAGGGAUGCUGCUCCAGCCUGGGCAGCCCAGAAGGGCUCAUGCCCCACUCUGGCCAGUCCUGUGCCCCUCUCCUGGAGUCUGGGGCUGCCCAGAGCUGCGGCUGCAGGUGCUGCUGUCCCCCAGGAGCCCCUCCAGGAGCGAGGGCCAUCCCCAGCUGGCAGGGAGCAGACACAGAGCCCCCAACAACGGCACCGGGGGGAGAGCAGAGCGGCGCUGUCUGUAACUGAACGUGUUCUUUGUGCUCCCAAAGCCAGCCUUUCCCCACACGCCUGCAAUUGUGUUCGCACUUAUUCAAUUUGGAGUUCUUCUUAAAAAGCAUGGAGUCUGGAAUGUUUGUUCUCCGCUUUUUUUCACAUCAUUACUCUGAUACUGCUUGAUUAGCUCCCUCCCCAGUCAUGAUUGGUAAUUAAAAUAGGCAUUAAAAUUAGUCACUUAGCAAUUUUGCUGUUCAAUUGGCAAUUAAAUUACUUAAUUGCAAUUAAAGUCCUAAUUUUAAUUGGCAAAAUGAUAGAUGUAGAUUUAAGAUAAUAUGUAUAAAUACUUUAAUAAGUGUCUAUAUAAGGAUUACUUAAUUACUCAACUUCAAGUUUAUGCUGUUAACUUUAGAACUUUUAAGUGAGUAAUGAAAUUUAUAUUACAUCUAUUCUAAGGAUAUGGUAA